rnacentral:rRNA from 1 species
CCUACGGGUGGCAGCAGUGAGGAAUAUUGGUCAAUGGCCGCAGGGCUGAACCAGCCAAGUCGCGUGAGGGAUUACUGUCCUAUGGAUUGUAAACCUCUUUUGUCAGGGAGCAAAGGGCGCCACGUGUGGCGUUUUGCGAGUCCCUGAAGAAAAAGCAUCGGCUAACUCCGUGCCAACAGCCGCGGUAAUACGGAGGAUGAGAGCGUUAUCCGUAUUUAUUGGGUUUAAUGGGUGCGCAGGCUGAAUGUCAAGUCAGAUGUAAAAUUUCGAGGCUCAACCCCGUCGUGCCGUUGAAACUGGCGUUCUUGAGUGAGCGAGAAGUAUGCGGAAUGCGUGGUGUAGCGGUGAAAUGCAUAGAUAUCACGCAGAACUCCGAUUGCGAAGGCAGCAUACCGGCGCUCAACUGACGCUCAUGCACGAAAGCGUGGGUAUCGAACAGGAUUAGAUACACCUGUAGUC